rnacentral:rRNA from 1 species
GUCCCGCAACGAGCGCAACCCCUACGUCCUGUUGCCACCCGAUCGUAAGAUCGGAGCACUCCGGACGGACUGCCUCGCUUCAACGAGGAGGAAGGUGGGGAUGACGUCAAGUCAGUAUGGCCCUUACGGCCAGGGCUGCACACGUACUACAAUGCCCGGUACAGAGGGGCGCGAACCAGCAAUGGGAAGCAAAUCCUUAAAACCGGGCCCAGUUCAGAUUGUCGUCUGCAACUCGACGGCAUGAAGCUGGAAUCGCUAGUAAUGGCGCAUCAGCUACGGCGCCGUGAAUACGUUCCCAGGCCUUGUACACACCGCCCGUCACAUCAUGAAAGCCGUCUGUACCCAAAAUCGCAGCGCCAACCGCAAGGAAGCAUGUGCCUAAGGUAUGGAUGGUGAUUGGGAUGAAGUCGUAACAAGGUAGCCGUAGGGGAACCUGCGGCUG